rnacentral:rRNA from 1 species
GGGAUAACCCGGAGAAAUCCGGACUAAUACCCCAUAAUAUGGGCGCUCCGCAUGGAGAGUUCAUUAAAGAGAGCAAUUUUGGUUACAGACGAGCAUGCGCUCCAUUAGCCAGUUGGCGGGGUAACGGCCCACCAAAGCGACGAUGGAUAGGGGUUCUGAGAGGAAGGUCCCCCACAUUGGAACUGAGACACGGUCCAAACUCCUACGGGAGGCAGCAGUGAGGAAUAUUGGUCAAUGGUCGGCAGACUGAACCAGCCAAGUCGCGUGAGGGAAGACGGCCCUACGGGUUGUAAACCUCUUUUGUCGGAGAGUAAAGUACGCUACGUGUAGCGUAUUGCAAGUAUCCGAAGAAAAAGCAUCGGCUAACUCCGUGCCAGCAGCCGCGGUAAUACGGAGGAUGCGAGCGUUAUCCGGAUUUAUUGGGUUUAAAGGGUGCGUAGGCGGCACGCCAAGUCAGCGGUGAAAUUUCCGGGCUCAACCCGGAGUGUGCCGUUGAAACUGGCGAGCUAGAGUGCACAAGAGGCAGGCGGAAUGCGUGGUGUAGCGGUGAAAUGCAUAGAUAUCACGCAGAACCCCGAUUGCGAAGGCAGCCUGCUAGGGUGAAACAGACGCUGAGGCACGAAAGCGUGGGUAUCGAACAGGAUUAGAUACCCUGGUAGUCCACGCAGUAAACGAUGAAUGCUAACUGUUUGCGAUACAAUGUAAGCGGUACAG